CCUACGGGUGGCAGCAGUGAGGAAUAUUGGUCAAUGGACGAGAGUCUGAACCAGCCAAGUAGCGUGAAGGAUGACUGCCCUAUGGGUUGUAAACUUCUUUUAUAUGGGAAUAAAAUGUUCCACGUGUGGGAUUUUGUAUGUAACAUAUGAAUAAGGAUCGGCUAACUCCGUGCCAGCAGCCGCGGUAAUACGGAGGAUCCGAGCGUUUUCCGGAUUUAUUGGGUUUAAAGGGAGCGUAGGUGGAUUGUUAAGUCAGUUGUGAAAGUUUGCGGCUCAACCGUAAAAUUGCAGUUGAAACUGGCAGUCUUGAGUGCAGUAGAGGUGGGCGGAAUUCGUGGUGUAGCGGUGAAAUGCUUAGAUAUCACGAAGAACUCCGAUUGCGAAGGCAGUUCACUGGACUGCAACUGACACUGAGGCUCGAAAGUGUGGGUAUCAAACAGGAUUAGAUACCCGUGUAGUC
rnacentral:rRNA from 1 species